rnacentral:rRNA from 1 species
UACGUAGGGCGCGAGCGUUGUCCGGAUUUAUUGGGCGUAAAGAGCUCGUAGGCGGCUUGUCGCGUCGUCCGUGAAAACCUGCAGCUCAACUGCAGGCUUGCGGUCGAUACGGGCAGGCUAGAAUUCGGUAGGGGAGACUGGAAUUCCUGGUGUAGCGGUGAAAUGCGCAGAUAUCAGGAGGAACACCGGUGGCGAAGGCGGGUCUCUGGGCCGAUAUUGACGCUGAGGAGCGAAAGCGUGGGGAGCGAACAGG